UCUAAAACAUUACUAAUGGGGAGUGUUAGUUCAGGGGGGAAGCAAGGCGAGGGUAAAAAUUAGGAGGUUGGCACGCCUUAUAAUGACCCCUGUGGUACAAUUUACAUAUAGCCCACACAACUAAACCAUUGUGGGCUUAUGCAUUUUUCAAGUUAUAUUCCCUUACAAAAUUCUGCAAGAAUUGUAGUUUAUAGCAAGGUUAUUUCCUAGGCAGAACACAAGAACAGGCCUCCUGUAGUCUAGACCAGCUCUCAUAGCAAGAAUAUUUCCUUUACCCCAGAGAAAGCGUCAGUACUCACUGAGAAGCCGUGCAAACCCAAAGUCACAGAGCUUAAUGACGGAGUGUUUUGUGAUGAGAAUGUUUUCGGGCUUCACGUCUCUGUGGAUGCACUGGUGAGAAGAAAGCAAGACAAGAAUGUUAUGAAGGAGCGACCGUAACACAAACCUGUUGGGGAUCAAUCCGGGACCUUAUCCACAAACUGCACUCCACCAGUGACCUCACACUGCAUCCAAUCUGUAUUAGAAAGGGGAACUUCGUGUUUAACUAGAAGUCACACUUAACCUGCCGGCUGUAGGUGAAGGAGAAAGGACUGAAGGCUCUGAGACCCACAGCCUGUAGCAGGAGCUACAGCGUGGUGCAUCAGGAGAGUUCACCAAAACGCGGCCUGCUCGUGACAUGCAGGCACAAACACCAGGAAAACUCACCUAUCUGGAAAAACGGCCUAGAAGAAUACGAAGAAGUGGACUUCCAAAGCUCCCUGCACCCAACUCUUGUUCGGGAAAAAUGCAUUGUACUUAUUCAGUGACUUUGCAACAUAAAGUUGUAAGUGCCAAGAAACUGAGUCUCCAAAGACAUUUCCCAAAAUAAAGAAUUCACAAGGACUUAUAACAUCAUAUUAUUAAUAUUCUUCGAUUGCUGAGCACAUGAUCACACACUUCUCGGUGUUGAAACUGUACAAACCACACAGUGGCCAGCUCCAUAGCUCCUCUUUCCAGGGAUGGUGGACAGGAAUCCAUCUGUCAAGGAAGACUAUAGAAGAAAGCCUGCUCUCAAACCUCCUUCCAUUGUAUCUGAGCUGUGCUCUUUUGUGGUUGUUAUUUGGAAACAGUGUUUCACUGUGUUGCCUGGCUGACCUGGCCUGGAACUCCUGAUCUCUGCCUCCCGAAAGCUGGGAGCCCAGCUGCGCUGUGUUCUUUCCUUCUGCUUUGGGAAGCUUGUUUUACCCCAGAAACACAAAUGACUCGUGUCUGCUUCCCUCUGAGGGGAUGCUGAGGUGCUAGUGCUGGGGAGGUAUCAUUAGAAACAUCUAAUUUAGGGGGCUGGAGAGAUGGCUCAGUGGUUAAAGAGCACUGGCUGUUCUCCCAGAGGUCCUGAGUUCAA